AGAAAACUUUGCAAUGUGCGAAAGCACGACAAGGUUAAUCCGAGUGAUUUGUGCUAAACGAAUCUUUUGUUAGUCCUAGAAACACUAACGAAUAAGGGGUGGGCAAGUUCUGGUGUCAGCCGCCGCGGUAAAACCAGCACCUCAAGUGGUCAGGAUGAUUAUUGGGCCUAAAGCAUCCGUAGCCGGCUCUGUAAGUUUUCGGUUAAAUCUGUACGCUUAACGUACAGGCUGCCGGGAAUACUGCAGAGCUAGGGAGUGGGAGAGGUAGACGGUACUCGGUAGGAAGUGGUAAAAUGCUUUGAUCUAUCGAUGACCACCUGUGGCGAAGGCGGUCUACCAGAACACGUCCGACGGUGAGGGAUGAAAGCUGGGGGAGCAAACCGGAUUAGAUACCCGGGUAGUCCCAGCUGUAAACUAUGCAAACUCAGUGAUGCAUUGGCUUGUGGCCAAUGCAGUGCUGCAGGGAAGCCGUUAAGUUUGCCGCCUGGGAAGUACGUACGCAAGUAUGAAACUUAAAGGAAUUGGCGGGGGAGCACCACAAGGGGUGAAGCCUGCGGUUC
rnacentral:rRNA from 1 species